rnacentral:rRNA from 1 species
GACGAACGCUGGCGGCGUGCCUAACACAUGCAAGUCGAGCGACGAACCGGGGCUUGCCCCGGGGCAGAGCCGCGAACGGGUGAGUAACACGUGGGUAACCUACCUCGAUGACCGGGACAACCCGAGGAAACUCGGGCUAAUACCGGAUGUUCUCGUACUUCUCAAGGAAUUCGAGCAAAGAUAGCUUCGGCCUUCGCAUCGAGACGGGCCCGCGGCCCAUUAGCUUGUUGGUGGGGUAACGGCCUACCAAGGCGACGAUGGGUAGCUGGUCUGAGAGGACGAUCAGCCACACUGGGACUGAGACACGGCCCAGACUCCUACGGGAGGCAGCAGUGGGGAAUCUUGCGCAAUGCGCGAAAGCGUGACGCAGCAACGCCGCGUGGGGGAAGAAGGCCUUCGGGUUGUAAACCCCUUUCAGUUGGGACGAAGCUUCGCCGGUUAAUAGCCGGCUGGAGUGACGGUACCUUCAGAAGAAGCUCCGGCUAACUACGUGCCAGCCGCCGCGGUAAGAC